AGUGAACGUUGGCGGCGUGGAUUAGGCAUGCAAGUCGAGCGAGAACCGUAGCAAUACGGGGACAGCGGCGAACGGGACAGUAAUGUGUAGGUACCUACCCCUGGGUUCGGGAUAGCUGCGGGAAACUGCAGGUAAUACCGGAUAACGUCUGAGGACCAAAGGUGUGAUUCCACCUGGGGAGGGGCCUGCAUCCUAUUAGCUUGUUGGUGGGGUAACGGCUCACCAAGGCAACGAUGGGUAGCGGGUGUGAGAGCACGACCCGCGUCAUUGGGACUGAGAUACUGCCCAGACACCUACGGGUGGCUGCAGUCGAGGAUCUUCGGCAAUGGGGGCAACCCUGACCGAGCGACGCCGCGUGCGGGAUGAAGGCCUUCGGGUUGUAAACCACUGUCGUAGAGGAGGAAAUGCAGGGGGGUUCUCCCUUCUGUUUGACCUAUUCUAGGAGGAAGUACGGGCUAAGUUCGUGCCAGCCGCCGCGGUAA
rnacentral:rRNA from 1 species